UACGUAGGUGGCAAGCGUUGUCCGGAUUUACUGGGUGUAAAGGGCGAGUAGGCGGGGCCGCAAGUCUGAUGUGAAAACUAUCGGCUUAACUGAUAGACUGCAUUGGAAACUGAGGUUCUUGAGUGAUGGAGAGGCAGGCGGAAUUCCUAGUGUAGCGGUGAAAUGCGUAGAUAUUAGGAGGAACACCAGUGGCGAAGGCGGCCUGCUGGACAUUAACUGACGCUGAGGCGCGAAAGCGUGGGGAGCAAAC
rnacentral:rRNA from 1 species